rnacentral:tRNA from 1 species
CUUGGGUUAGCUCAGUCGUUAGAGCUUAGGACUUUUGACCGGAAGGUCGUGGGUUCGAAUCUCGACUAUAAUA